AUAUCAAUAAGCGGAGGAAAAGAAACUAACAAGGAUUCCCUAGUAACUGCGAGUGAAGCGGAAAAGCUCAAAUUUAAAAUCUGGCAGUCUUACUGUCCGAGUUGUAAUCUAGAGAAGCAUUAUCCGCGUUGGACCGUGUACAAGUCUCCUGGAAUGGAGCGUCAUAGAGGGUGAGAAUCCGUCUUUGACACGGACUGCCAAGGCUUUUGUGAUGUGCUCUCAAAGAGUCGAGUUGUUUGGGAAUGCAGCUCAAAAUGGGUGGUAAAUUCCAUCUAAAGCUAAAUAUUGGCGAGAGACCGAUAGCGAACAAGUACCGUGAGGGAAAGAUGAAAAGAACUUUGGAAAGAGAGUUAAACAGUAC
rnacentral:rRNA from 1 species